GACGAGCCUCACAAACGUUAUUCGGAAUUACUGGGCUUAAAGGGUGCGUAGGCGGCGCGGAAAGUUGGGUGUGAAAUCCCUCGGCUCAACCGAGGAAUUGCGCUCAAAACUACCGUGCUCGAGGGAGAUAGAGGAGUGCGGAACUUACGGUGGAGCGGUGAAAUGCGUUGAUAUCGUAGGGAACACCGGUGGCGAAAGCGGCACUCUGGAUCUCAUCUGACGCUGAUGCACGAAAGCUAGGGUAGCAAACGGG
rnacentral:rRNA from 1 species